rnacentral:rRNA from 1 species
UAAGACGAACCUGACGAACGUUAUUCGGAAUCACUGGGCUUAAAGGGUGCGUAGGCUGUGCAGAAAGUUGGGUGUGAAAUCCCUCGGCUUAACCGAGGAACUGCGCCCAAAACUACUGUGCUCGAGUGAGAUAGAGGUGAGCGGAACUUAGGGUGGAGCGGUGAAAUGCGUUGAUAUCCUAAGGAACACCGGUGGCGAAAGCGGCUCACUGGGUCUCAACUGACGCUGAUGCACGAAAGCUAGGGGAGCGAACGGGAUUAGAUACCCCGGUAGUCCUAGCCGUAAACGAUGAGCACUGGGUUGGAGGGUCCUCCAUAGCCCUCCAGCCGUAGCGAAAGUGUUAAGUGCUCCGCCUGGGGAGUAUGGUCGCAAGGCUG